rnacentral:rRNA from 1 species
UUAACACAUGCAAGUCGAACGAUGAACCACUUCGGUGGGGAUUAGUGGCGAACGGGUGAGUAACACGUGGGCAAUCUGCCCUUCACUCUGGGACAAGCCCUGGAAACGGGGUCUAAUACCGGAUAACACUGCGGAUCGCAUGGUCUGUGGUUAAAAGCUCCGGCGGUGAAGGAUGAGCCCGCGGCCUAUCAGCUUGUUGGUGAGGUAAAAGCUCACCAAGGCGACGACGGGUAGCCGGCCUGAGAGGGCGACCGGCCACACUGGGACUGAGACACGGCCCAGACUCCUACGGGAGGCAGCAGUGGGGAAUAUUGCACAAUGGGCGAAAGCCUGAUGCAGCGACGCCGCGUGAGGGAUGACGGCCUUCGGGUUGUAAACCUCUUUCAGCAGGGAAGAAGCGAAAGUGACGGUACCUGCAGAAGAAGCGCCGGCUAACUACGUGCCAGCAGCCGCGGUAAUACGUAGGGCGCAAGCGUUGUCCGGAAUUAUUGGGCGUAAAGAGCUCGUAGGCGGCUUGUCACGUCGAUUGUGAAAGCCCGAGGCUUAACCUCGGGUCUGCAGUCGAUACGGGCUAGCUAGAGUGUGGUAGGGGAGAUCGGAAUUCCUGGUGUAGCGGUGAAAUGCGCAGAUAUCAGGAGGAACACCGGUGGCGAAGGCGGAUCUCUGGGCCAUUACUGACGCUGAGGAGCGAAAGCGUGGGGAGCGAACAGGAUUAGAUACCCUGGUAGUCCACGCCGUAAACGGUGGGAACUAGGUG